UCUCUAGAACAAGAUACGUUAUAAAUAGUUAUGAAUGUGAGUUUCGUGAUCAGUUUUCUAAAUGUAGUUAACAACGGUACGAACAAGGCGGAACUCAACUGCGAGGGCAGCUCAACACCCGGACAGUCUGCAGAGGGCACACAUAACAGCUGUGGUUAUUACAAGAGGAUGUCCAGUCAGAAAAAAUGCCACAUUUGCAAGGAAAAAAUCGGGGUAGCCAGCAAGACAUGUCAGCACUGUGGUGCCAAGCAGCCUUACAAGCAAAUACUCGAAAAACGCAAGAAAAGAGUUUCCCUCGACUGGAAGGAGAGGCAGAAAAAAAACUGCAAUGUUAACAAAGUGUAUGAUGCAACCAAUCUACUGAAUGCAUGCUCAUCCCAAAACCCAGGGCUUCUACCUAAUUUGGACAUGAAUCAGAAUGCGUAUAGGGCAGUGGGCCUCUAAGGACAUUCCUCUUUAACAUACACAAUUACAAGCUCCACAAGUGGGACAUUUUAGAACGGCAUCCAGUCCUCCUCCUUUCCAGGAGAACUACAAAUGGUUUUGUAACAGAGUAUUUCUGUCCAUGGAAAAUGGACACUGAAGAUGCCAAGGAUGCCUUUGUCACAAUAAAGAAGAUUUAUGAAAGUCUUCUUAAUGCUACAGACCCUCCACUGGUCAACAGUACUGUGACUGGAAAGAAAGUGCUGCUGGAAAACUAUGAAUCCUCAACAUCAGCUGAGCAUCAAACCAGUGCAGAUACAGAUAAUGAUAAUGUAAACUACUGCCUAGUUCAGACAGAUUCCAACAUACCUGGGAUAAAAGAGGAGCAGGAGGAACUUGGGGAUAGUAGUCCAACAUGUACAGAAAAUGAUGAUGGGAACUAUUGCCUAUUUCAGACAGAUUCCAACAUAUCUGGGAUAAAAGAGGAGCAGGAGUAACUUGGGGAUGACUGUCAAACACAGCAGGUUAUUUUUCCUUCUCCUGUAGCUGUGAAAAGUGAGCUAGAUGAGUCAGAGAUGCAAGUGACUUAUGAAAUGCAGCCGGUGUCUUCAGACUGCUCUGAGGAUCAAAGUGAGGAAACUGACAGUGAUGGGGACUGGGUGCAGAGCCAGGGAGCACAGACAAAGAAGAACAAACAGAGACUGAACGUUCUGCAAAGACCAAAUAGCAGCAUGAGUCCAACAUUGCCUGAUGGAAAAUCUUCUGCUAAAACUAGAAGAUUGUGUCCUGUGUGUGGAAAGAGCUUUCAGUACAUCCGUCCUUUAAUGAAACACAUUAACACACAUAAGACAUAUGAUUCUGCAAAGGAGCUUCUGAGUAAUUUGCAACGUGCUCGUAACAAACGGCCAGUUUGUGAUGUUUGUGGCAAGACGUUUACAAAUCGCGGUUGCCUACAGAUGCAUUCGAAAAUACAUGCAGGAGUAAAAGACUUUAAAUGUCAAGACUGUGGGAAAAUGUUUGUCCGGAAAGAACCUCUGGUUGUGCACGUGAGGACUCAUUCUGGGGUGAGACCAUAUCACUGUGAUAUCUGUGCGAAAGAGUUCAGUCAGAGCACAAACCUUCGAGUUCACAGACGGAUACACACAGGAGAGAGACCAUAUUGUUGCAGCUCGUGCGGGAAACUCUUUCACACCAGCGGUCAGCUGAAAAUACACACUAAACGUUUUUCGGGAGAGAAACCCUACGCCUGCAAUAUUUGUGAUCAAUUUUUUUGCCGGAAGAAACAGCUGACUCAACACAGGAAUGCACACUCAGCAGAGUGACAUCCACAUGGUGGGAAAGACCCAGGUUCAGACCAUAUGGUUGACGGUUUUUAGGUAAAGCAGCUUAAAUGCAUCAUUGACUCUUUGCAUUUCAAUGUGCUAUUUUCCUCAAAUGUAUAAUUUAAGAGAACAAUGCUUACCAUCUGUGUUGUUCCACUCAGCUGCAGAAUAAUUUACCUUUAAAACUGAAAAGUAUAUUAUCAAAAAUAAAAAUAAAUAACUUAACAGGAGCCACUGCACAUGUUGAUAAUUACCAUGUUGUUUGUUGAUUUCAGAAUGUAACAGUAAUCCUGUACGAGUUUAAUUUUGCACAGAUGGUGAAAAAAGUAAGAGGUUAACAAACACAGUCUUGAACUAGAACCAAGUCAAGAAAAAAUGUCUAGCUUGAAGCCAGUGUGGCUCCAUUAUACAUAUUCCCCAUUAUACAUUUUAUCAAUAAAUAUAAGGCCACUGAUAGGACAGGGCAUGGUCACUCACAUUAAGUAACAACGACUGCCUCACCCUGCUGCUCUACUAGACUGGGUUCUUCUCUGCAGUUUGGCCAACAGGUGGCAGCAGUUACACCAAAGUCAUGAGUUUGAGCUAGGGGCACAUUAUGCUCACAGCUGUCAAUAACACUAGAUCAUAAAGAGAGCCCAUCUGCUGCACACCAUUAACAUUGUGCAUGCAGAAACCUUGUAACACACCUUCCAACAGCACAGUCACAGUCUUCAUCUGGCUACCAGGCAUUUCUGCUCAAACAAAUGGGAAGUUUUACCUAAUAAAGUAAAGUUAAGAAAGAAAUGAAGUGGAAAAAGUAGUUCCUUAGCUUGAAAUCACAUGAUUAUGUUUAGAUCAGCCUAAGAUUGUUUUGUGGAUAAUGGCAACAUUCAGUACAUAUUGUCAUUAUACAUAGUCAAUGUUGCCUGCUGCAACCACGAUUAUUAUUAAUCAUACUUCUGUUAUUGUUGUUGCUGUGCUUCUCUAUGUGUCUCUGUCCUUUCUCCCCUCCCUUUCUUUCCAAACCCAUCCAGUCAAGGAAGACGAUCACCCUCCUAGAGCCUGGUUCUGGUCCCUUUCUGUUGAAGGAGGUUUUUCCUUGCCACUCUCAUGAAGUGUUUGUUCACGUGGGAAUGUUGGGUUCCUGUAAAUUAAAGAGUACGGUUUAGACCUGCUCUGUGUGAGAAGAUAACUUCUGUUGUGAUUUGGCACCAUAUAAAUAAAUAAAAUUGACAUAUCUUUUCUACCAUUUGCUGUAUUUACAGAUUGGUAACGGUGCCAACAAUUGAUGUGACCCUACAAACCCUACAUUGUUAUAUAAUGUGUUCUUGCUUCAGCAGUA